UUGAUCCCGCCGGACCUCACUGCUAUCGAGGUGGGACUAAGCCAUGCUAGUCGAACGACCAGAACCAUGUCUGGUAGUGGCGUACUGCUCAGUAACACGUUGCUAACCUACCCUUAGGACAGGGGCACCCCCGAGAAAUUGGGGCUAAUCCCUGAUAGGUGUGGUGUCCUGGAACGGUAUCACGCCUAAAGGUCCCAACAGCAUGUUGUUGUUACGCCUAAGGAUGGGGCUGCGGCCGAUCAGGCAGUUGGUGAGGUAAUGGCUCACCAAACCUUUGACCGGUACGGGCCAUGAAAGUGGUAGCCCGGAGAUGGAUACUGAGACAAGGAUCCAGGCCCUACGGGGCGCAGCAGGCGCGAAACCUCCUCAAUGCACUGAAGUGUGAAGGGGUUACCUCGAGUGCCGUCUGAAGAAGGCGGCUUUUCCUUGGUCUAAAAAGCCUUGGGAAUAAGAGGGGGGCAAGACUGGUGUCAGCCGCCGCGGUAACACCAGCCCCUCGAGUGGUGGGGAUGAUUAUUUGGCCUAAAGCGUCCGUAGCCGGCCGAGUAAGUUUCCCGUUAAAUCCAGCGUCUCAAGCGUUGGGCUGCGGGAAAUACUGCCCGGCUAGAGAGUGGGAGAGGAAAGCGGUAUUCUGGGGGUAGGGGCGAAAUCCUUUGAUCCCCGGAGGACCACCAGUGGCGAAGGCUGCUUUCUAGAACACGUCUGACGGUCAGGGACGAAAGCUGGGGUAGCGAACCGGAUUAGAUACCCGGGUAGUCCCAGCUGUAAACGAUGCACGCUAGGUGUUGGGUCGGCCACGCGCCGCCCCAGUGCCGCAGGGAAGCCGUUAAGCGUGCCGCCUGGGGAGUACGGCCGCAAGGCUGAAACUUAAAGGAAUUGGCGGGGGAGCACCACCAGGCG
rnacentral:rRNA from 1 species